rnacentral:rRNA from 1 species
UACGUAGGGUGCAAGCGUUAUCCGGAAUUAUUGGGCGUAAAGAGCUCGUAGGCGGUUUGUCGCGUCUGCUGUGAAAACUGGAGGCUCAACCUCCAGCCUGCAGUGGGUACGGGCAGACUAGAGUGCGGUAGGGGAGAUUGGAAUUCCUGGUGUAGCGGUGGAAUGCGCAGAUAUCAGGAGGAACACCGAUGGCGAAGGCAGAUCUCUGGGCCGUAACUGACGCUGAGGUGCGAAAGCGUGGGGAG